rnacentral:lncRNA from 1 species
AUUCCAAGAACAGACUUAGAAAGGUAAUAUCAACAGUGUUAUCUCUACACAAGUUGAAUAUAUGGGCAACUAAUCCUAAUUGGUUCCACAUGAACCGACCUUGCUCUGAUACCACUAUUGUAACACCCAAACCCCUUAACGCGAAUUUAUUGAAUAUAAAUAAAUAAAACACUUAAGAAAAUCUAGGCGUCACAUGUUAUAAUACAAAAUCA